rnacentral:rRNA from 1 species
CCCUUAGAUGUCCUGGGCUGCACGCGCGCUACACUGAUGUCCAGUAAGCACCUAACCUCUUCCGAAAGGAACGGGUAACCUUUGCAAAGCACAUCGUGAUGGGGAUAGAUUAUUGCAAUUAUUAGUCUUGAACGAGGAAUUCCUAGUAAGCACAAGUCAUCAGCUUGUGUUGAUUACGUCCCUGCCCUUUGUACACACCGCCCGUCGCUCCUACCGAUUGAAUGUUCCGGUGAGCUCUUCGGACUGCGCGGUCUGCAGUUUCUGCGUUCCGUGCGGAAAGUUGCGCAAACCUUAACAUUUAGAGGAAGGAGAAGUCGUAACA